UAAGCGGAGGAAAAGAAACCAACAGGGAUUGCCUCAGUAACGGCGAGUGAAGCGGCAAAAGCUCAAAUUUUAAAGCUGGCACCUUCGGUGUCCGCGUUGUAAUUUUGUGAGGCAUCUCCGGGUAGGGCGCCGGCCUAAGUUCCUUGGAACAGGACGUCAUAGAGGGUGAGAAUCCCGUGCUUGGCUGGCUGUCCCCGUCCAUGUGAGGUGUCUUCGACGAGUCGAGUUGUUUGGGAAUGCAGCUCAAAAUGGGUGGUAAAUUUCAUCUAAAGCUAAAUAUUGGUGGGAGACCGAUAGCGCACAAGUAGAGUGAUCGAAAGAUGAAAAGCACUUUGAAAAUAGAGUUAAAAAGUACGUGAAAUUGUUGAAAGGGAAGCGCUUGAGACCAGACUUCGGUGGGGAGUGAUCAGCUGUCCUUCUGGGCGGUGCACUUGCUCCCCUCCGGGCCAGCAUCGGUUGGGACGGCGGGAUAAAGGUCCCGGGAAUGUGGCUCCUCUCGGGGAGUGUUAUAGCCCGGGUGAAUGCCGCCAGCCCCGACCGAGGACCGCGCCUUCGGGCUAGGAUGCUUGGCAUAAUGGUCUUCAGCGACCCGUCUUGAAACACGGACCAAGGAGUCUAACAUCUAUGCGAGUGUUUGGGUGUCAAACCCUUACGCGAAAUGAAAGUGAACGGAGGUGGGAACCCGCAAGGGUGCACCAUCGACCGGUCCCGAAGUCUUCUGAAGGAUCUGAGUAGGAGCAUAGCUGUUGGGACCCGAAAGAUGGUGAACUAUGCCUGAAUAGGGUGAAGCCAGAGGAAACUCUGGUGGAGGCUCGCAGCGGUUCUGACGUGCAAAUCGAUCGUCAAAUUUGGGUAUAGGGGC
rnacentral:rRNA from 1 species